UACAGAGGGUGCGAGCGUUAAUCGGAUUUACUGGGCGUAAAGCGUGUGUAGGUGGCUUCCUAAGUCGGUUGUGAAAUCCCUGGGCUCAACCUGGGAAUUGCAGUCGAUACUGGGAAGCUCGAGUUCGGUAGAGGACGGCGGAAUUCCCGGUGUAGCGGUGAAAUGCGCAGAUAUCGGGAGGAACACCGGUGGCGAAGGCGGUUCUCUGGGCCUGUACUGACGCUGAGGAGCGAAAGCGUGGGGAGCGAACAGG
rnacentral:rRNA from 1 species